rnacentral:rRNA from 1 species
UACGGAGGGGGCUAGCGUUGUUCGGAAUUACUGGGCGUAAAGCGCACGUAGGCGGACCAGAAAGUUGGGGGUGAAAUCCCGGGGCUCAACCCCGGAAUGGCCUUCGAGACUGGUGGUCUUGAGUUCGAGAGAGGUGAGUGGAAUUCCGAGUGUAGAGGUGAAAUUCGUAGAUAUUCGGAGGAACACCAGUGGCGAAGGCGGCUCACUGGCUCGACACUGACGCUGAGGUGCGAAAGCGUGGGGAGCAAACAGG